UUAAGCGACUAAGCGUACACGGUGGAUGCCCUGGCAGUCAGAGGCGAUGAAGGGCGUGCUAAUCUGCGAUAAGCGCCGGUAAGGUGAUAUGAACCGUUAUAACCGGCGAUACCCGAAUGGGGAAACCCAGUGUGACUCGUCACACUAUCAUUAACUGAAUCCAUAGGUUAAUGAGGCGAACCGGGGGAACUGAAACAUCUAAGUACCCCGAGGAAAAGAAAUCAACCGAGAUUCCCCCAGUAGCGGCGAGCGAACGGGGAGUAGCCCAGAGCCUGAAUCAGCAUGUGUGUUAGUGGAAGCGUCUGGAAAGGCGCGCGAUACAGGGUGACAGCCCCGUACACAAAAGCGCAUGUGCUGUGAGCUCGAUGAGUAGGGCGGGACACGUGGUAUCCUGUCUGAAUAUGGGGGGACCAUCCUCCAAGGCUAAAUACUCCUGACUGACCGAUAGUGAACCAGUACCGUGAGGGAAAGGCGAAAAGAACCCCGGCGAGGGGAGUGAAAAAGAACCUGAAACCGUGUACGUACAAGCAGUGGGAGCACCCUUUGGGGUGUGACUGCGUACCUUUUGUAUAAUGGGUCAGCGACUUAUAUUCUGUAGCAAGGUUAACCGAAUAGGGGAGCCGUAGGGAAACCGAGUCUUAAUUGGGCGUUAAGUUGCAGGGUAUAGACCCGAAACCCGGUGAUCUAGCCAUGGGCAGGUUGAAGGUUGGGUAACACUAACUGGAGGACCGAACCGACUAAUGUUGAAAAAUUAGCGGAUGACCUGUGGCUGGGGGUGAAAGGCCAAUCAAACCGGGAGAUAGCUGGUUCUCCCCGAAAGCUAUUUAGGUAGCGCCUCGUGAACUCAUCUCCGGGGGUAGAGCACUGUUUCGGCUAGGGGGCCAUCCCGGCUUACCAACCCGAUGCAAACUGCGAAUACCGGAGAAUGUUAUCACGGGAGACACACGGCGGGUGCUAACGUCCGUCGUGAAGAGGGAAACAACCCAGACCGCCAGCUAAGGUCCCAAAGUCAUGGUUAAGUGGGAAACGAUGUGGGAAGGCCCAGACAGCCAGGAUGUUGGCUUAGAAGCAGCCAUCAUUUAAAGAAAGCGUAAUAGCUCACUGGUCGAGUCGGCCUGCGCGGAAGAUGUAACGGGGCUAAACCAUGCACCGAAGCUGCGGCAGCGACACUGUGUGUUGUUGGGUAGGGGAGCGUUCUGUAAGCCUGUGAAGGUGGCCUGUGAGGGUUGCUGGAGGUAUCAGAAGUGCGAAUGCUGACAUAAGUAACGAUAAAGCGGGUGAAAAGCCCGCUCGCCGGAAGACCAAGGGUUCCUGUCCAACGUUAAUCGGGGCAGGGUGAGUCGACCCCUAAGGCGAGGCCGAAAGGCGUAGUCGAUGGGAAACGGGUUAAUAUUCCCGUACUUGGUGUUACUGCGAAGGGGGGACGGAGAAGGCUAUGUUGGCCGGGCGACGGUUGUCCCGGUUUAAGCGUGUAGGUGUGUGUUCCAGGUAAAUCCGGUUCACUUUAACACUGAGGCGUGACGACGAGGCACUACGGUGCUGAAGCAACAAAUGCCCUGCUUCCAGGAAAAGCCUCUAAGCAUCAGGUAACAUCAAAUCGUACCCCAAACCGACACAGGUGGUCAGGUAGAGAAUACCAAGGCGCUUGAGAGAACUCGGGUGAAGGAACUAGGCAAAAUGGUGCCGUAACUUCGGGAGAAGGCACGCUGACACGUAGGUGAAGUGAUUUACUCACGGAGCUGAAGUCAGUCGAAGAUACCAGCUGGCUGCAACUGUUUAUUAAAAACACAGCACUGUGCAAACACGAAAGUGGACGUAUACGGUGUGACGCCUGCCCGGUGCCGGAAGGUUAAUUGAUGGGGUCAGCGCAAGCGAAGCUCCUGAUCGAAGCCCCGGUAAACGGCGGCCGUAACUAUAACGGUCCUAAGGUAGCGAAAUUCCUUGUCGGGUAAGUUCCGACCUGCACGAAUGGCGUAAUGAUGGCCAGGCUGUCUCCACCCGAGACUCAGUGAAAUUGAACUCGCUGUGAAGAUGCAGUGUACCCGCGGCAAGACGGAAAGACCCCGUGAACCUUUACUAUAGCUUGACACUGAACAUUGAGCCUUGAUGUGUAGGAUAGGUGGGAGGCUUUGAAGUGUGGACGCCAGUCUGCAUGGAGCCGACCUUGAAAUACCACCCUUUAAUGUUUGAUGUUCUAACGUGGACCCGUAAUCCGGGUUGCGGACAGUGUCUGGUGGGUAGUUUGACUGGGGCGGUCUCCUCCUAAAGAGUAACGGAGGAGCACGAAGGUUGGCUAAUCCUGGUCGGACAUCAGGAGGUUAGUGCAAUGGCAUAAGCCAGCUUGACUGCGAGCGUGACGGCGCGAGCAGGUGCGAAAGCAGGUCAUAGUGAUCCGGUGGUUCUGAAUGGAAGGGCCAUCGCUCAACGGAUAAAAGGUACUCCGGGGAUAACAGGCUGAUACCGCCCAAGAGUUCAUAUCGACGGCGGUGUUUGGCACCUCGAUGUCGGCUCAUCACAUCCUGGGGCUGAAGUAGGUCCCAAGGGUAUGGCUGUUCGCCAUUUAAAGUGGUACGCGAGCUGGGUUUAGAACGUCGUGAGACAGUUCGGUCCCUAUCUGCCGUGGGCGCUGGAGAACUGAGGGGGGCUGCUCCUAGUACGAGAGGACCGGAGUGGACGCAUCACUGGUGUUCGGGUUGUCAUGCCAAUGGCACUGCCCGGUAGCUAAAUGCGGAAGAGAUAAGUGCUGAAAGCAUCUAAGCACGAAACUUGCCCCGAGAUGAGUUCUCCCUGAGACUUAGAGUCUCCUGAAGGAACGUUGAAGACGACGACGUUGAUAGGCCGGGUGUGUAAGCGCAGCGAUGCGUUGAGCUAACCGGUACUAAUGAACCGUGAGGCUUAACCUU
rnacentral:rRNA from 1 species